rnacentral:rRNA from 1 species
GACGAACGCUGGCGGCGUGCUUAACACAUGCAAGUCGUACGGUAAGGCCCUUUCGGGGGUACACGAGUGGCGCACGGGUGAGUAACACGUGAGUAACCUGCCCACAACUUUGGGAUAACGCUAGGAAACUGGUGCUAAUACUGGAUAUGUGCUCCUGCUGCAUGGUGGGGGUUGGAAAGCUCCGGCGGUUGUGGAUGGACUCGCGGCCUAUCAGCUUGUUGGUGGGGUAGUGGCCUACCAAGGCGGCGACGGGUAGCCGGCCUGAGAGGGUGACCGGCCACAUUGGGACUGAGAUACGGCCCAGACUCCUACGGGAGGCAGCAGUGGGGAAUAUUGCACAAUGGGCGCAAGCCUGAUGCAGCAACGCCGCGGGCGGGAUGACGGCCUUCGGGUUGUAAACCGCUUUCAGCAGGGACGAAGCUUUUUGUGACGGUACCUGCAGAAGAAGCACCGGCUAACUACGUG